CGCAGGUGGAUGUGAAGGAUUUUUAU
rnacentral:piRNA from 1 species